rnacentral:rRNA from 1 species
AUUGAACGCUGGCGGCAGGCCUAACACAUGCAAGUCGAACGGUAACAGGAAGAAGCUUGCUUCUUUGCUGACGAGUGGCGGACGGGUGAGUAAUGUCUGGGAAACUGCCUGAUGGAGGGGGAUAACUACUGGAAACGGUAGCUACUACCGCAUAAUGUCGCAAGACCAAAGAGGGGGACCUUCGGGCCUCUUGCCAUCGGAUGUGCCCAGAUGGGAUUAGCUAGUAGGUGGGGUAACGGCUCACCUAGGCGACGAUCCCUAGCUGGUCUGAGAGGAUGACCAGCCACACUGGAACUGAGACACGGUCCAGACUCCUACGGGAGGCAGCAGUGGGGAAUAUUGCACAAUGGGCGCAAGCCUGAUGCAGCUAUGCCGCGUGUAUGAAGAAGGCCUUCGGGUUGUAAAGUACUUUCAGCGGGGAGGAAGGGAGUAAAGUUAAUACCUUUGCUCAUUGACGUUACCCGCAGAAGAAGCACCGGCUAACUCCGUG